rnacentral:rRNA from 1 species
AGUGAACGCUGGCGGUAGGCCUAACACAUGCAAGUCGAACGGCAGCACAGUAAGAGCUUGCUCUUACGGGUGGCGAGUGGCGGACGGGUGAGGAAUACAUCGGAAUCUACUUUUUCGUGGGGGAUAACGUAGGGAAACUUACGCUAAUACCGCAUACGACCUACGGGUGAAAGCAGGGGAUCUUCUGACCUUGCGCGAUUGAAUUAGCCGAUGUCGGAUUAGCUAGUUGGCGGGGUAAAGGCCCACCAAGGCAACGAUCCGUAGCUGGUCUGAGAGGAUGAUCAGCCACACUGGAACUGAGACACGGUCCAGACUCCUACGGGAGGCAGCAGUGGGGAAUAUUGGACAAUGGGCGCAAGCCUGAUCCAGCCAUACCGCGUGGGUGAAGAAGGCCUUCGGGUUGUAAAGCCCUUUUGUUGGGAAAGAAAAGCAGCAGGUUAAUACCCCGCUGUUCUGACGGUACCCAAAGAAUAAGCACCGGCUAACUUCGUG